rnacentral:tmRNA from 1 species
GGGGGUGAACAGGGUUCGACGGGAGUGAUAGACGUAAUGACAGCAGGCCGGAGUUAGUCGAUGGCUCCGUAAAAAUCGACUGAACAAUAAACAACAAAAUAAGCAACAGCAUUAGUACUGGAGCGAUGGCUGCUUAAUGCGGCUUCGUUUUACUUCAGACACCUGUUAUGGGGAUAAAACGACAAAUGCAGGUUAGUUUUAAGCGGUUUGUGCCGUCAGCUUAAAAUGAAAUUAAAACGGCACUGGUUUUGUAACGCAAUCUUGUCCGGAGACAGCGUUAUAAACGAAAUAAACUUUCCGGACUAAGCCUGUAGCGGUCAUGCCGAAACAUUUUCGGACGCGGGUUCAAUUCCCGCCACCUCCACAC